rnacentral:miRNA from 1 species
UAACCAGGCUCAUAGUAGUUCU